rnacentral:sRNA from 1 species
ACACUUUUGAGAGAGGGUUUCCUAUCUUGUUUUAAUUUUCCUCCUUUACGACUCCCUCUCCAAGGGGAGUCUCGUUCCCUAAAACCUUUUCUUCAUGUCCAUCUCUUAUUUUGUCCUACCUCCUUUUUAAGAGAUGGAUUUUCAUUUCUUGGUUUCCAGGGUCAUGGUGGAGGUCUCAUAAUGUUAGAGGAAUAGGAGGCACAGUCCACUUUC